AUUUAUAUGACGAAACUGUAAAAUCAGUGAAAUUCAGCCACUGAAGAUGCCAUCCAAUGUGAUGCGCGAAAUAUUUGGCAGAAAAUAAA